rnacentral:misc_RNA from 1 species
UCCACGUUAUCCGCGGCAGUCUCCCAAGAGUCCUCCCCUUGCGGGGUAGCAACAUGGGACAAGGGUUGCGCUCGUUGCGGGACUUAACCCAACAUCUCACGACACGAGCUGACGACAACCAUGCAGCACCUCGGCUAGCUCCCUUGCGGGUCAUCCAAUGUUUCCAUCGGACUAACACUAGUCGUUCGAGCCCAGGUAAGGUUUUUCGCGUAGCGUCGAAUUAAACCACAUGCUCCACCGCUUGUGCGGGCCCCCGUCAAUUCCUUUGAGUUUUAACCUUGCGGCCGUACUCCCCAGGCGGGCAACUUAAUGCGUUAGCGUCGGCACGGAAGGGGUUGAUACCUCCCGCGUCUAGUUGCCAUCGUUUACAGCUAGGACUAC